GAGACCGCCACGUGUCUGUGCGC
rnacentral:miRNA from 1 species